GGAAUCUGAUGUAGAAAUGAAGUGCACAUGGAGAUGAUGAGAAAUAUUUUGAAAAAAGAAGAAUAAGAUUUUAAUAAUAUGCAACAUCUGGUCACCAUGUCGGGUGGUCUUUACUAUAAAAGAAUUAAUGAAACUUAUGCUGGCCUUCAGUGGAAGGGACAACAUUGCACCUUCUUCAUGUUUUAAUAGUUUCAUAAUUCGACAAAAUAUUUAUUAUCUCUUUAAAACAAUUAUGAAAUCACUGGUUAAAAUAAAGAAAUUAGAGAGAUUAAGAAAA
rnacentral:lncRNA from 1 species